GCGGUGCUCUUCAUUGAGUGUCGAGGUGGGCCGGCUCGUUUACUUUGAACAAAUCUGAGUGCUUAAAGCAGGCCAAAGUGCCUGAAAGGUAGUGCAUGGAAUAAUGGGAAAAGGAUCUCGGUUCUAUUUUUGUUGGUUUUCGGAACCAGAGAUAAUGAUAAAUGGAGGCAGGCGGGGGCAUUUGUAUUGCAACGUUAGAGGUGAAAUUCUUGGAUCGUUGCAAGACAGACCGCAGCGAAAGCAUUUGCCAAGGAUGCUCUCGUUAAUCAAGAACGAAAGUUAGAGGUUCGAAGGCGAUCAGAUACCGCCCUAGUUCUAACCAUAAACUUAUGCCAACUAGCGAUCUCGCGGUACUCCAUUGAUGGUCCGCGAGGCAGCUUCCGGGAAACCAAAGUUUUUGGGUUCCGGGGGAAGUAUGGUUGCAAAGCUGAAACUUAAAGGAAUUGACGGAAGGGCACCACCAGGAGUGGAGCCUGCGGCUUAAUUUGACUCAACACGGGAAACCUCACCAGGCCCAGACACUGGAAGGAUUGACAGAUUGAGAGCUCUUUCUUGAUUCAGUGGGUGGUGGUGCAUGGCCGUUCUUAGUUGGUGGAGCGAUUUGUCUGCUUAAUUGCGAUAACGAACGAGACUCUAGCCUACUAAAUAGUCGUUCCCGGCUUCCUCUGUGCAGCCGGCGAAGACAAGUCUUCUUAGAGGGACAGGCGGCUUUUAGCCGCACGAGAUUGAGCAAUAACAGGUCUGUGAUGCCCUUAGAUGUUCUGGGCCGCACGCGCGCUACAAUGGAGGUAUCAACGUGUCUUCCCUGGCCGAAAGGUCCGGGUAACCCGCUGAACCACCUCCGUGCUUGGGAUUGGGGCUUGAAAUUGUUCCCCAUGAACGAGGAAUUCCCAGUAAAGGCGUGUCAUUAGCACGCCUUGAUUACGUCCCUGCCCUUUGUACACACCGCCCGUCGCUACUACCGAUUGAAUGAUUUAGUGAGGUCUUCGGACUGGCGCGCGGUGAUCUCUCGGGAUCGCCGAUGUCGCCGGAAAGAUGCCCAAACUUGCUCA
rnacentral:rRNA from 1 species